GCCCUCGUGGCGUAAUGGCAGCGCAUCCCCCUCCUAUAAAAGGGAUGAAAGGGGAAGGUUGCAGGUUCAACCCCUGCCGGGGGUG